AUUCUGAAGGAAAACAGAUCCCAGUGAGUUUCCAAGCAUCCUCAGUCAGCUGGCAGUCACUCUGUUCCUCUCUUCAAGGAAGAACAGUAAGAUAAAAUUAAAGUUGAAUCAACAGCAGAUCCUUUAAUUCCAGAUGGCCAGUCUGAACCAUCUGAGGAACAUUUUCUGAUUUCAAUAUGCCCUGGUGAACCCUCAUUCACCUGUGUUCUACUGCUCUCAAGUUUCAAUGCCACUUUGCAGUUGUCUUCAAAAAAUGGAUGUAGAUAACCCUGGAGCAGAGAAGGAUGUGCAUUCAGGAGGAUCUGUCAUCACUGAUGAGUCAGCAGAAGAUUGAUACUUUCACUGCAGUGCCCUGGGAUUUUGUAACUUAGUCCACACUGAAGCCUUACAGGAAGAGUUUUACAUCACCUGUUACAAAGAGGCACGAGGAGAAGAAUUUCCAAGCUGCUCCUCCCACCUGCUUCCACAAAGGAAUUUUAUUUUCCUAUUUAUAAGGUCUCUAAUGGACUGGCUGUCACUGUAGCAUCCUGAAGACAGGUGUGUGCUUCCCUAUUUUCACCACUCCCUGAACAUCAUCACCUGAAGCUGCCCGUGUGAGAUGAUCAGGAUUUACACAAAGUCAUGUACACUCAUCUCUGGCUUUAUACACUCUCCCUACAGAAAACAUCAGGUCCAGACCAA